ACGCUCGACACCUACGGGAGGCAGCAGUGGGGAAUAUUGCACAAUGGGGGAAACCCUGAUGCAGCGACGCCGCGUGGAGGAAGAAGGUCUUCGGAUUGUAAACUCCUGUUGUUGGGGAAAAAGAGGAUGGUACCCAACAAGGAAGUGACGGCUAACUACGUGUCAGCAGCCACGGUAAUCUGAGCGGGCUGGCAAGGC
rnacentral:rRNA from 1 species